rnacentral:rRNA from 1 species
AUUGAACGCUGGCGGCGUGCCUAACACAUGCAAGUCGAGCGGUAACAGGUGUAGCAAUACAUGCUGACGAGCGGCGGACGGGUGAGUAACGCUUGGGAAUCUGCCUAUUAGUGGGGGACAACCCGGGGAAACUCGGGCUAAUACCGCAUACGCUCUACGGAGGAAAGCCGGGGACCGCAAGGCCUGGCGCUAAUAGAUGAGCCCAAGUCGGAUUAGCUAGUUGGUAGGGUAAUGGCCUACCAAGGCGACGAUCCGUAACUGGUCUGAGAGGACGACCAGUCACACCGGAACUGAGACACGGUCCGGACUCCUACGGGAGGCAGCAGUGGGGAAUAUUGGACAAUGGGGGCAACCCUGAUCCAGCGACGCCGCGUGGGUGAAGAAGGCCUGCGGGUUGUAAAGCCCUUUCGGUGGGGAAGAAAAGUCUCGACCUAAUACGUCGGGACCUUGACGUAACCCACUAAAGAAGCACCGGCUAACUCUGUGCCAGCCGCCGCCGU